rnacentral:lncRNA from 1 species
CCUCGUGCUUUUAACCGUAGCCAAAAGAAAAGGACUGAAUAAAUAAGAAAGAGUUUUGGGAGGGCGACUAUCGUUUUCAGGUGCAGUUUCCGGUUCUAGAAAUGUUGAACUUGUCCACAGAGUGUGUGUUUUUCUCUUUUUUUUCCCUUUUGCAAAUACUCGUUGCUAAUUUUGAUUCGCAGGAUUUAAAACCAUAAGAUUGUUUCGUGUGAACAAAAAUUCCCAUGAGGUCCGGCCUAAUUAGGAGGAUGGAAGGAGUUCAUCCAGCAAGCAAACGCGUCCAGCUACAAAGCCCGGUUGGCAGAGGCGGUUGACGUUGAUUCUGAGCUGCCUCUAAUCAGUGUCAACUUGCGAAUGAUUGGAGACUCGAUCUGCGGGAUUUGGAUAUGCGUGGGUUGUGUCUGUCUGGCAUGGCAACCAUCUGAAAAAAAAAGAACAUAGACGGACUCCGUAUAUCGCGGUAUGGUCGCUGCGGCUUCAUUCGGUGACUGGACCCCUUGUCAGUCACAGUGGCACAGCACAUUGAUUCCACGAGGUGGCAGCAGCUGAGAACGGAGCGAGCCGAGGAUUACGGAUGCUGUUGGAGAUGCUGCUAGGCAAACGAAUUGAACGGUACUCUGUUAGCAAAUCCGUCUAUAUAUUUGUAUAUCGAUUUGUUUGGUUUCAGGCGAUCGAGAAUCUAUAUUUCUCAGUCGACUUGUCUGGACCAUUGAAUGGGCUUGGAGAUGUGUGUAGGUUUUCUUUUUCUCAAUUUUUUGUGCGUGCUGUGUCCGUUUGCUUUUCUAAACUGGUUAUUUUUCUUUUGACCGUAAUUUUUUUGGUUUUUGUUCUAUUAUUUUUAUUUUUAUUUUUAUAUCAACGCUCGAACGUUCUGAGGUGUACAUGCGGUUCUUUGGAUUUUUGUUUGUCAGUUCUAUGAAUGCUUAAUUACACUUAUUAAUACAUAACUUAUUUACAUUCAACUAUUACGUUUUUACGCCUCAUCCAAUACAACAUUGUUAGCUUUCUUCAUUUGUCAAUUCAUACACAUCUAUAUAACACAUUUGCUACGGCUCAGUCGCCUGAGAAAUAUUAUCUCUCAGUCGGUUCAGUUACAAAGGUAGGAGGAUACAUAGACUGACAACUGAAUUAAAUUAUGAUGUUCUACUUGACCUGAUGGUUAGUACCUCACGGCACUUGUGGACGUUGUGAGUUCGACUCCUGGGUGUCUAUUUUUUGAGUUUCGUUUGUCUUUUUAUGCAGGAUAUUUAUACAUUACUUCCUUUUUAAUUUUUUUCGCUCUCUUGAUUUUCUUUGUUCUUAUUUUUUCUUACUUGUUGUUCUAAUUUUAAGAAUAGGAUUUAUAUCUCGGUUGACUCCCGGUUUGAUGUGACACAAAGAUUUAUUGUACCAUCGGACGACUAAAAUUGCACGUGAAAAUUUGUGUGCAAAUUUGGAUUUUAAAAUGUGCAAUUAGAUAUUGCACCGUCGGACGGCUAAAAUUGCACAUGUUUUUUCGGGUGCAAAUUUGGAUUUUGAAAUGCACAAUUGGAUAUUGCACCUUCGGACGGCUAAAAUUGCACCUGAGAUUUUGUUUGCAAAUUUGGAUUUUGGAAUGUACAAUUGGAUAUUGCACCAUCGGACGGCUAAAAUUGCACGUGAAAUUUGUGUGCAAAUUUGGAUUUUGAAAUGUGCAAUUAGAUAUUGCACCUUCGGACGGCUAAAAUUGCACAUGUUUUUUGGGUGCAAAUUUGGAUUUUGAAAUGCACAAUUGGAUAUUGCACCUUCGGACGGCUAAAAUUGCACAUGAGAUUUUGUGUGCAAAUUUGGAUUUUGAAAUGUACAAUUGGAUAUUGCACCAUCGGACGGCUAAAAUUGCAC